AGCGAACGCUGGCGGCAGGCCUAACACAUGCAAGUCGAACGAAGCCUUCGGGCUUAGUGGCGGACGGGUGAGUAACACGUGGGAACGUACCUUUUGGUUCGGAAUAACGCAGAGAAAUUUGCGCUAAUACCGAAUGAGCCCUUCGGGGGAAAGAUUUAUCGCCGAAAGAUCGGCCCGCGUUGGAUUAGGUAGUUGGUGUGGUAAAGGCGCACCAAGCCUACGAUCCAUAGUUGGUCUGAGAGGAUGACCAGCCACACUGGGACUGAGACCCGGCCCAGACUCCUACGGGAGGCAGCAGUGGGGAAUAUUGGACAAUGGGCGCAAGCCUGAUCCAGCCAUGCCGCGUGGAUGAUGAAGGCCUUAGGGUUGUAAAGUCCUUUUAACGGGGAAGAUAAUGACGGUACCCGUAGAAUAAGCCCCGGCUAACUUCGUGCCAGCCGCCGCAGUAAUAC
rnacentral:rRNA from 1 species